GAGAGGUCGUGGAGGUGGAUCUGGCAAUUUUAUGGGUCGUGGAGGAAACUUUGGAGGUGGUGGAGGUAAUUUUGGCCGUGGUGGAAACUUUGGUGGAAGAGGAGGUUAUGGUGGUGGAGGUGGUGGCAGCAGAGGUAGUUAUGGAGGAGGUGAUGGUGGAUAUAAUGGAUUUGGCGAUGGUGGCAACUAUGGUGGUGGUCCUGGUUAUAGUAGUAGAGGGGGCCAUGGUGGUGGUGGACCAGGAUAUGGAAACCAAUGUGGUGGAUAUGGUGGCGGUGGUGGAGGAUAUGAUGGUUACAAUGAAGGAGGAAAUUUUGGUGGUGGUAACUAUAGUGGUGGUGGGAACUAUAAUGAUUUUGGAAAUUAUAGUGGACAACAGCAAUCAAAUUAUGGACCCAUGAAAGGGGGCAGUUUUGGUGGAAGAAGCUCAGGCAGUCCCUAUGGUGGUGGUUAUGGAUCUGAUGGUGGAAGUGGUGGAUAUGGUAGCAGAAGGUUCUAAAAGCAGCAGAAAAGGGCUACAGUUCUUAGCAGGAGAGGGGGCGAGGAGUUGUCAGGAAAGCUGCAGGUUACUUUGAGAGUCGUCCCAAAUGCAUUAGAGGAACUGUAAAAAUCUGCCACAGAAGGAGCAAUGAUCCAUAGUCAGAAAAGUUACUGCAGCUUAAACAGGAAACCCUUCUUGUUCAGGACUGUCAUAGCCACAGUUUGCAAAAAGUGCAGCUAUUGAUUAAUGCAAUGUAGUGUCAAUUAGAUGUACAUUCCUGAGGUCUUUAAUCUGUUGUAGCUUUGUCUUUUUUCUUUUUCUUUUCAUUACAUCAGGUAUAUUGCCCUGUAAAUUGUGGUAGUGAUACCAGGAAAAAAAAAUUAAGGAAUUUUUA